UACAGAGGUCUCAAGCGUUGUUCGGAUUCAUUGGGCGUAAAGGGUGCGUAGGUGGCGCUGUAAGUCGGGUGUGAAAUUUCGGAGCUUAACUCCGAAACUGCAUUCGAUACUGCGGUGCUUGAGGACUGGAGAGGAGACUGGAAUUCAUGGUGUAGCAGUGAAAUGCGUAGAUAUCGUAAGGAAGACCAGUGGCGAAGGCGGGUCUCUGGACAGUUCCUGACGCUGAGGCACGAAGGCCAGGGGAGCAAGCGGG
rnacentral:rRNA from 1 species